UUCCCCGGGGAGAGGGGCUGCCCGCCGGGCUUUCGGUUGUUCCGGCGGGGUCCCCAGGGGACCCGCCUGCAACGGGCUCUCAGAGUAAAACUGAAUGAGAAAAAAACCCCAGACUCGCCCACAGUGGCGGAAGGCGCAAAGCAAUAGGGGAUUUUGGCAAAGAGUGGAGGGGCCCAGAGACGACUCAAUUUCCCCUCCUGCCCUCCGCAGCUCUUCUCCGGAGCCCGGCACGCCGCCCCGGUCCGCGCAGCACCCCCCCCGCCCCGCCACAUGAGGUAGAGACCUUCAACUUUAAAGUUCGACUUCGGACGCUUCCAACUCGAACAAGAUCCUGUGAUCUUAGUGAUCUCUACACCCAACAUGAGGCUCAAACUCACAACCUGGAGAUCAAGAGUCACAUGCUCCACCAGCUGAGCCAGUCGGGCGCCCCUCCGCAGUUUCAUCACCUGCAAAAUAAGCACAAUAAUGGCACCUACUUAGCAGUUUGACACAUAA